CUCACGCGCAGAGAAACACAGACUCGCGCGCCGUUGCCGACACUUCUUUUAAGUUUCCGCAGUAAAUCUGGAAACACCCCCCCCCUCCUCCUCGCGCGGGCUUCAGUUCGCCGCCUGCCUUUGAACUUAGCCGAAUAUUCACUUUUUCCAGCGCAGGCGCACCUUUCAACACACUUUCUUUCCUUAAAUUAUUUGUAAUUUCUUCCCACCUGACGUGGCUUUGUCCACAUUAUCUCUUAUUUCCUGAUUACCUCCCCAUUCUCUACACAGUCUGUCGUGUUUUUAUUGCCCUCGAUCCACGUCAUAAUCCGUUCUUUUCUAUUUCUUACUCUAUGAACAAAUCUAAAUCCUUGAAGGAAAUACUGAUCUUCAGACGUUUUUGCUUGUGGGUUUUUCUGUCCAGAUGUUUUUCUUCUUUUUUUUUUUUUUACAAUAUUACAAAACAAUUAACUUUUAAAAAUGGCUGUGCUUAUAAAAUCAAAUAAAACCUUACCCAUUCUUAAGUAAAAAUUGUAUACAUGUUAAUUUAAGAAGGACAUCAUUGUAAAAAAUCUUGAGUUGGAUGAAACUGAAUUCCCUUUAGUCCUCUCUCUCUCUCCACUGACUGUCUAAGUCAUUCUUUAAAAAUCUCUAUCAAAUGUUUUUUGAAAUAUUCCCUGAAGAACCAAGUUGCCAUAGUGACCUGCUACCAGCAGCUACCAGGUGGUGGUGCUACAACAGGUCAGCGUUAUCUCCUGCACCAGGUUCCUGACUGAUCAGUUUGUUUAUUGCUGAUAGAGGAAGGAUAAUGCAGGUUCUAACAGUGGAGACAAUGGGCAAGUUCUUCUGGUAAAGCAGACCCAUCUUUAGAAGAACACUCCCACAAAGUUGGUGAGCUCACAAUAAAAGCGACAUGUCAACGACUUCUUGGCAAAGGACACAUGAAACCAAGAUGAGAUCUUCCAACUGAACUUGUUUUCCUGACUUCACUUUAAUUUGAUUAAAAAGCGAGCUGCAGGAAGAGGAGGGAGGGCUGAUGCACAUCUAAUAAGUGGACCAUCUGUCUGCAGAGCUGGCUGGCUCCCAGCAUUGUACCCAACCAGACUGCAUGGGAAAUGUAGGGAGAGAUAGCGGGAUGAAGGGAUGGAGGGAGGCAGAGAGGGAGCGCGGUAAAAAUGUAUAAAACCCAAAAAAAGACUGACCCGGGCGGCGAAAAGAAGCAGAGGCAGCAUUUUUAAUUUUGUCUGACGCUUGCUUGGUCAACAAACCUGCAGAGGAGAUGAAGAAGAAUGAAGAGCGGAGUAAAGAGCACUUGAAGGAAAGUGGAGAGGGGAUAAGGAAUAGAGCAGGAGGAACAGAGGUGAUGAGAGGAUGAGAACAUCUGGGAGUUAGAGGGAAGAUGGGGAGAAAACAUCAAAAAUGGAGAAACGGAGACAGGAGAGGGAGGGAGGAGACAACAAGAACAGGAGACAGGAGGAGUGGGAGAAGAAUAAAGGCAGUGGGAUGAAAGGAAAGAAGGAGAGAAAAGAGGAGGGAGGAGGAAGGAAGGAGAAGAAAAGGCAAAAAGAGAAGAGUGAGAGGGGGAGAAGAAGGGGAAACGAGGAGGAUGGGACAGCAUGAGGCAGAGGAGAGACCAGGACAGACUUUUAGCUGAGUGCUCAUCCACGCUGACCUUUGAUCUUAAGGCGGAACACUCUAUUCCAAGCUCCCACCUAUUUAAGGUGGAUUGGCGACAUAAAUGGGUCAGCGCUCAGCAUUGUUUGUCUCAUGUCAGAGCUUGUGUUCCUUCCUCCAUCCUUCGUUCCUUCCUCCUUCACUAACCUUUUUCCUUCUGGUGUCUCUUCAUAUUUACAUCAUCUAAUUGUUUUUCAUUUCUUCCUUUGCACUUUCCAACCCUCUUCUCCACCUUAAUAACCUCAUCUUCUCCCUAUUUCCCAUCACUAGUUUCCUCUGGCUUUCUGUUCCCUUCUUCCUUUUUGCUUCCUUCCUCCUUCCUUUCCUCCAUGUUUCCUUUUUUAUUUCUUCUUACUUGUACUUCGUCCCUCCUCACAUCCCCUCCUCCUCCUCCUCCUCUUCCUCUGUAGUGGGGAGAUGACAUUUAUAUCAUAAUCUCACAUUUCAUCCUGAUUUCACGCAGACAAGAUUCCUUCAUAUUACAACACUCAAUUAUUACAGUUGUCAAUCUCUGCGGCACUGAUUGCUUCUGUCAGUGUCUCUUCUUUCCUCUUGUUUAUCCAACAGCCUUUUACUUUCAUCUGCUUUCCUUUUAUUGUCUCUUCUUUCCUCACAUGACCCAUUAUUCCCUCUUCCCUUUUUAUUUCUUCUUCCAUUUUUUUGCAUUAACUCUGUGCCUUGAAGCCCCGCCUCCAUACACAAACACACAGAGCCUCUGUAUCACUACUGUAAGCCUUUGAUUUGAGUGUUUUUAUGUUGCAGGCCUGAAUUUAAAAGCAGAAAAGUUAUCCAAGUUAUUGAAGAGUUAAGCCCUGGCAGCUACA